AACACGACUCUCAGCAAUGGAUAUCUUGGCUCUCGUAGCAAAAUGUGAUACUUAGUGUGAAUUGUAGAAUCUCAUGAAUCAUCGAGUCUUUGAAUGCAAGUUGUGCUCAAGGCUCCAACCAAGGGCACGUGUUUGCUUGGGCAUAGCUC
rnacentral:rRNA from 1 species